GUGCUCGCUUCGGCAGCACAUAUACUAAAACUGGAACGAUACAGCACGGCCCCUGCCCAAGGAUGACAUGCAAAUUCAUGAAGCGUUCCAUAUUUAA
ensembl:snRNA U6 U6 spliceosomal RNA